UUGACUUGUGAGUUGAUUAAAAUAAUAAUUAAGUUGAAUAUGUAUGAAUACAAUUGGUAAUAUGGGUAUAGGUAAUCACUGAAUAACUUUCUGAAAUGUAUUUCUGGUUAAUGAUUUAUAAUAAGUAAGAGUUGUGAUUAAGUCUUAAUGAAUAUCAAAACAUGUGAUGAUCUGAAAUGGAUUCAAAUGAUUUUAAUACAGGUUGAAUAUGGUUAAUGAAUUGUAACAUAAUAGUGAGCUAUAGAAAAGAGAGGAGUUUACAACGUUAAGAUCAGCAUGAUGGUUGAGGUCCUGCUGUAAGGAAAUGUCGCAAGUUGGGGAGAGAUGGGACUUUCCACAAGACUCAGCAAACAGAAGUUCAGGAAAAAAAUAGUAAACCAAGCUCCCCAUACACACAUAUGGGUAAAAAGAGUAUAAGAGGGGACUGAAAAGAGGAAGCAACUGUUCUUAGUCCGCGGCGCUGGAGACGAGUCAACACGGAGAAGCAGAUUGAGGAACAGCAUAGGACCGCACCUCGGAGCCACAGGGAAGCUGAGACUUCGCGCCGCCAAGAAGGGACAAGAUCCUACUACCCCAGCCCUGGUUCCUGAUUCGACCGUCGGCCCUGCCUCAACCCAACGAUCUUAAAACUCUGCAACAAGACUUGGAGAAAAGACAAAGGUCCCUGAGGGAUAAAGAGCUGGGUUUUCAAAGGAUUUGGACCCGUUCUGCUUUGCGUCUAUUCUAAGGAGGAUUUUUCCACACAAGGACAAAGACUCUGACCAAGGAUUCUGGAGGUUCCUGUUGCCAAGAUCCACCAUCAACUGGGCGUGAGUUGAAUCUGCGCAAAAGUCCAUCUCAGAAAUUGGGACAUAGGUUAGGGAAAAGAGAUAGGAUAGUAUGGUUAUACAUGUUGAUUUUAUUAUACUGCUCUUGAAUUAUAUACAAUUAAUUAUUGAUUUGUAUGUCACAUACCCCUGCUUAAGCUUGCUCAAUAAAUUUAUACUAUAAAAUUCU